ACGGGAGGCAGCAGUGAGGAAUAUUGGUCAAUGGAGGCAACUCUGAACCAGCCAUCUCGCGUGAAGGAAUACGGCCCUACGGGUCUUAAACUUCUUUUAUAGGGGGAUAAAGUGAGAUAUGUAUAUCUUUUUGUAGGUACCCUAUGAAUAAGCAUCGGCUAACUCCGUGCCAGCAGCCGCGGUAAUACGGAGGAUGCGAGCGUUAUCCGGAUUUAUUGGGUUUAAAGGGUGCGCAGGCGGCGCGUCAAGUCAGCGGUUAAAUCCCGAGGCUCAACCUCGGUUCGCCGUUGAAACUGUCGUGCUCGAGUUCGUGCGAGGAGAGCGGAAUGCGUGGUGUAGCGGUGAAAUGCAUAGAUAUCACGCAGAACGCCGAUUGCGAAGGCAGCCCUCCAGCACUGGACUGACGCUGAGGCACGAAAGCGUGGGUAUCGAACAGGAUUAGAUACCCUGGUA
rnacentral:rRNA from 1 species